AUUCCUUCAUCCAUUUCAUCUUCUUUGUCUCUCCAUUUCCUUUCCAUUUUUCUCUCCAUUCUCUAGUUGCAAAAUUCUGCGUUUUCAAGCAAGGAGAGGAAGAAGAAGAAGGAGCGGUGAAGAUCAUAUCCUCCAUCGUCCACCUUGAAGGCUUGCUUCCAAGAUUCAAGAUUCCAACGUACGUUUCAAGCUCUCCAUCUCCAUCUCCAACUCACGGUGUGUACCCUCAAUUCCCGGCUAGAACGAUCCCUACUUAUUCUAUACUAACAACCAAGGUUUUAAAUAUCGGUAUUUUCAUAUCUAUCGGUACGUUGAAAAAGGGAGAUAUCAGAUAUAUUGGGGAUACAGUGUACGAAAAUAUUGUUUUUGAAAAAAGUCAAUUUAUUAGAAAUUUAGAACUACAUAUAAAUACAUAUGAAUGUCAACUUCAUCUACAUCCAAAAAAAGACUCUAGGCGGUUGAAAAGCCGCUCGCUGGUCUACGAAAAUGCAAUAAUCAGACCAAGACAUAUGACCCAUAUAGUGCGAAUUAUAGUGAUGAACAUGAUCGAUAGUUAUAGAUCUCUUUAGAGCUGCCGACUGUUUCUCCUAUAAGGGGAUAAUAAGGAUGAACCCAACUAGAUAACUGAUCAUAUACUUCUCCAUAUUGAUUAUAUCCAUAAGCAUCAUAACCAAAUUGAUUGUUGUCUUCAUGAGAUUCAUUUGAGAUCCCACUGCGCUCUGUGCCUAAACUGAUAGAGUCAAAACUUAAGGCAAUUGAAGAAACAUCAGAUGGGGUACUUUGAUGAUCAGUUGCACCUCUAGUCCUCCUCCCAUAUCGGGUCUUCUCUUGAGCACCAUGACCAGCUGUUCUCACUGCGUGGUCUUCAUCUUGGGUGGCAUGAUCAAAAUUACCUUCACAGGAAAUAAGCGGAAUUACGAAAAUCGAGAGAAAAUGACCUCAAAAUGGAGCAAUUCGGAAUUUCCGACAAAAAGACGAAAUUAUUGAUUUCUUAAUUAAUCAAUUAAGCGUUGGUUAAUUAACCAGCUUAAUUGAUUAUGCAAUGCACGUUUGGUAUACUUAAUCCAAUUAUGAGGUGACAUGUGGCAUUGAUUUGUUUGUUUUGAUCCAAAUUAUGCUGCAGCCAUUACAUGUCUCCUUACCUAAAUAACCAAAACGCACCGCAUCACAUGAAUGGGUCCAAACCCUUGUCUUUUCUCCUUCACACGAAUUGGCAGCCACCCAUAUAUAUAUUCUCCUCUCUCUCGACAGAGGAGAACCCUUCUUCAGCGCCGCACCAAAACAGGGGGCAGCCUUGGGCUGCUCUCACUCUCCCUCCUUUCCCCCCAUUUUUUUUCUUCUUUUCUUUAUAAUUUCUUUUGAGAUUUGAAGAACUACUCACACAAAGCAUCAAGGAUCCAUCAAGGGGCUCAAUCUCUACAAGAUUCAAGAUUUGGGUAUUUUCUGGGAGUUGUAAUUCAAGGCUAGUCAUGCUAGCUUCCUAGCUAUUUGUGACUAUCCUUGUUUUCUCCUACACUUCUCUACUCUUUGCUAUUUGAAUUUUGUAAUUUUGAUGUUCAUGAAUAUGGGUUGUGAGUAGUUACUUUUGGGAGCUAGGGUUUCUAACUCUAGCUCAAUUUUGAUGUAAUGAACAUAUUUUUCAAGUGAUAAAUAAUGUAUUUUCAUAUGGGUGCACUCUAAUUACUAUGUUAAUUGAUUCUUGAUGCAUGAAUUUAGGGAAUUGACCACUCUCUUU